GCGCCAGAGUCCAAUUGCUGAAGCAUGGUGGGGCAGAGCUCCUGUAGGCCACGCCCAUCCAGACGAGACUGCUCGUUCAUACUGUAAACUGCCAGGGUGUCUCCAGGUUGACUCUGGGCGGCGCCGGUGGAGCUGUCGCCUCUGCUGCGGUGCCGUUGUCCCCCAGGCCGGGUGCACCGAGUCGUGCCAACAAAGAGCGGAGCUGGGGGACAGAGAUGGUGGCAUUGUCCCCAUAUCGCUCCAACAGGCCCUGCAGCACCUGGGCUGGAGAAGCCUGGUCUUCACCGAGUGCUCUCCCCAGGGGACACAACAGCAGGGCAAGGGAGAGGAAGACUGUCAGCUGGGCCACACAGACCGAGCAGCCAUGGACGGGACUCUGAGUCAUGAUGAUUAUGAUGACCCCUCCACUGGCUGGGUUACGGCUGGGGAACAGGAAGAGAGCAAAAUGGGCUGGAACCAAUAUUGCUGAAGAUCUCUGCCUGGUGCCUUUGUUCUGACCCUGAGACAAUCGCUUGGCUCCCUGGCGUUCACCGUCAUGAAUGGGCAGCCUCUGGAGCAGAAGACAUUAUGUUUCAUCG